UCCAACUUGCAAAUUGUUAACUCAGUUUAAAAUUAUAAGUUAGGUGGACAUAUUUUUGAGCACAGUGUUGAGUUUAUUUAUAAAAAAAGAUUUAACUGCAUGUUUACUACUAUUUUGUCUAAUAAAAAUAAACAAUUAAGUUGGAAAAACGUAACAUCUUGAUUUCUUCAUUCAAGCAAUUCACAUCCUGUUAUUGCACAUGCGCAGUCUGUUUCCCUAGCAUUGUGCACAGGGUUUCCACAUCAUCAACUGCAUUUUAGAAGGGGCUGGAUGUUCUCUGGUUCAGGUAAGCUUUCUUUAAGUUUUAUUAUCGAAAAGAACCUAAAUAAUUUACACAAAUGCUUAACGUAAAAUGUAACGUUGUUUUUGGAAAGACUAUUUUAAGGAAUGUAAUGAUAUUUUGCAAUGAGCUCAGACGGCUAGCGUGCUUCAUUUGAAGGUCAUGUUCAGUUCACUUUGUAAAAUUUGAAAGAAAUGUUUCAAAAUACAUUUUUGUAUAAGUUAUAGUUAUUACAAUAAACUGUAGUUUAAUGGGUUGUGUGUUGUGGAUGGAGUUAUAGAAUCUCUUGUAUUUAAGUCAUUAAAGAAGCAUACGAAAGACAUAAGAAACACAGUCAUACGCCUAAUGCUAAUUACAAAUGCUAAAUUGAGAUUGAAUCGUUAUUUUUGGAUAAAUCUUUGCUUGAUUUGCGUUAGAGGGAGGCUUUCAGAAAGGACAGAAUCCUCUGCCAGCUGGUCAGUUCUAUUUUACCAGCCACGUUUUGCUCUCUGUAAAUACGUUUUGGCUAACGUUAAUGCUAAACACAUGAUUAUUGAUCAUCCAGCUACGCCAUGAAACAGAGCACUACUUACGGGAAAAUGCGAUCUACCUGACUGAAGACCCUUACACAAUCAACAAGGAAAGCCGUUAGUAUUAUUAAAAAGUGGGGAAAAACAGCAUUUUACAUUUCAGUAAGUUAUAGGGUAUUCUUAAACUUGUUAACCGUGUGGUUAUUUCUGAUCUUAGACGUAAAACAUAACAUGCUUUACAUAACAUCCGGUCUAAAAUACAGAAAAUAUAUCAUGAAUUAUCAGCAAAUGUCUAGUAUUUCAUGAGCUUAGUGUUUUUUAGCAUAGCUCUUCUUAGCACCAUUUAACUAGUUCAAUGUAAUUUGGCAUUAUUAUUUUGCUUUGAAUGUGAUUCAUUGUAUAUUCUCAUUUUUUGUAUGGAAUAUUUAUAUUGUGUUUUAAACAAUUAAUGUCAAUUUAGAUGGAAUGUAUUACUGCACAUGUCAAACUGUGUUUGUUUUUCUUUUCAUAGGUUUGGAAUGCAGUACGCAGGGAGAUCCCGGCAGCAUCCUUGCUUGUAUACUGACUGCAUCUGCACUUUUAAAACUUUAGGCUUCUGGUGUGCUGCUCAAAAUAAACCUACAGCUCUCAAAAGUCUACCUUUGUUUAUGAGGGAAAAAGUCUGGAAACUUCCUGAAGUCUUGCCUGGACACAGACCCAGAAGACACUCACACAAAAGGGAUGAAGAAGGGGGUCUUAACUGUCGUUGAAGAUGAUGUUGCCACCAUCCAUUCAAACCCAAAUGUAAGGUGCCUGUCUGUAGUUUUAGAGGAGCAAGUUGUGCUGGAUAAUGUGCAAGACGUCCCUACAGCUGUUGCUCUCCUAUUUGACUUGAUUUAUGCCAUCAAAAUCAUUAGCUAUCCUGAAGAACUAAAAUACACUUCUGAAACUAUUCAGAAAGUGUUUAUUGACCUUGACCCCCAGUGCUCUUCAAGAGUCCAGUGAUUCAAAACAAAUUGGUAAAGUUGAAGUAGCUGCAGUUCAGAUGGCUAAUCAAAAGUGCAAGUACUGAUUUGUUCCUGUUUGUUUAGUAGCUGUAUAACAGUACAACAUAUGCCAAAGUCAGUUUUGAGUUUUAAUGUAAGGUUUAAUGACUUUCAAGUUUUGUUUAUAACAGUUAAUACUUCAUUGCUCUAAUGAAUGUGUUGAAACUCUGCUUGUUUAUUUUGGGAGCAUUUUAAGAUUAUUCUGGCACUUUGAGAACAAUUUAUUUUACUCCAGCACUUUAAAGGCAUUACAAGAUUGCCUCUUUUGCCUUUUAUUUUAUUUCAAUUUUAUAUAUAUAUUUUAUUUUCAAUUAUUUAUUAUAUUUUGAUGACUAGAGAAAAAACUACCUGAAUCCAAUUUUUGCAGUUCAUGUUGACAGGAAAUGUGUCGGUUGGCAAAAUUGUAAAAUAAACAUUUUUCUCUAAAAAAAUGUCUUUUUUCAUUGUGUUUACAGUAUGGUUGCAAUAUCUGUGUUUGAUUUUUAAUGUGAAAUUCCUGUGCCAAACAGGAAUUUGUGAAAGAAGUUUGAAUGAAACAUUCAAAGCUGUAAAUUAAAAGAAGAAAAUUAAGUUGAACCAACUUAAAAAAUGUAGUAAAUUUGCUGCAAAGCUUUUUUGAGUUUACUGAACUUCAGGUCUGUAGUUCUCCCUACUUGUUUUUUAAAGUUCACUCAACCCCCUUUUUAAAUUUAAACAAACUCAUGAUGACUAGUUAGAUGUACCUACUGAGGAAGGUUAGAUGAACUUACUGAGGAAGGUAUACCUAACUUAAGAUAGCAGUUUCAAUCCACUUUCUACAAUGAUUUGGCAUAACUUUAACCACGGAAGUUGAGUAAACUCAAAAUUGCUUUGCAGCAAAUUUACUAAAUUUUUUAACUUAACUCAA